CCAUCUUCCUCUCUCCCUCGAUCCCACAGGUCACGUACGACGCUCCUCUCUCCCUCGAUCCCUUCUCUGCACCACCGGUGCCCAUGGCAAGCACUAUCCCCUUGCACCGCUUGCCGGCCUCCCGUCUCCAGCCUCGAUACAUCCCUUCCCACCGCUGGCGCUCCUGCUCGCUCUGCAGCUGUCCCCAACUCCUCCUCAAUCCACACCUCCGUGUCCUCCGCCUUCGCCGCCUGCCGCCUCCUUCUCCCCACGACCCCACCUCCUCUAUUUCUCCCCUUCCGCCUCCUGCCCCACUCCCUGCCCCCGCCUCCUUCUCCCCACCCCGCCCGCCUCCUUAUCCUGCCUCGCGACUGUCUCGGUGCCGGUGGUGGUGGCCACGACCAGACUCUUGCGCAGCUACCGGCUGCAGUUCCUUGCGCUUCCUCCCACGUCUCCACCACCUCGCCUGUGCAACACCGUGCCCGCACGGUCCCAGCGCCAUCUACUACAGCCCCGCGGUCAACCGUCUGGACACCAUGGGCAGCGGCCAUGGAGGCCGCACCUCUAUCCGCUCGCCAGCCAGUACCUCCGCCUACAUCCUCCCUCAUCCAUCUAGAUCAGGGUUGCCCAACAGGUGUUUGCUUUUAUGCCUAAAAGUAAGUAUGUUCUUUCUAGAAUAAGCUCCAUACAUAUAUAUAUAUGCAUUGCCUGUUGACUAUUCCUAAAUUCUAACAUACAUUUGCAGGUUUAUGAAUGCAUACUGUAUAAUUGUGGUAGAAGCACUUGUUCUUAUUCUCUUGUCUAAUUAGAGUUUUUAAUUAGUGAGGUAGAUGAUUUCUUUAGCUGCAUAUUAGUUACAGAACAUGAGCUUGUGAAGAGACAAAGUUCCAGCAUUUGGUUAAAUCUGAUAUAACUUUUGAAAUAGGCCCCAAAACUUUCUAAUUAGAUACUACUAACAUAUUGUUUUGUUUGAAAAUAUUUGGGUAAAUAGGUUUCGGUGAUUGAAAAUAUUUGAGAUACCACACUUCAGUUAAAUUUCAUAUCUGCUCCCUGUUUGAUUCAACUCCAUGAACAAAUAAGUUCAUGAACAAGUUCCUGUUUAAUUCAAGUAUGAAAGAUUCAUAUUUAGGUACAUAGGUUUCCGUGAUUGAAAAUAUUUGAUAUGCUACACUCCAGUUUCAAGUGAAAUAAUAUACAUGGAUUUAAAUUAUGUUUUGACAUGUUUGACUUGCCUGUAUUAAAAAACUAUCGUUUGCCACAACUGCGGUUAUAUCAAAGCUACAAAUAGCGGCAACUUGCAGGGUCCUGCUAUCUGACCAUGCUUGCUGAAGCUGCUACAUGUCAUCUGUAGUUUUUCAUGUUGUGUCUUUUCUGACCGCGUGAAGUUGCAAGUUGCAGAAGUGGAAUCAACCUUUUCUAUUAUCAUGCCAAAAGAAAAAAAACCUUUAAUGCUACAGCCGAGCGGAGCCAUGGAUGCCUAUGCUUUCGCAUACUUGCCUCUGUUGCUGGAGGUAAUUAGCCAGUCACCUAAUGCUUCCUCCGUUUUAAUGCAUGUUGUUUCUCAAAAAUAUAGGGUAGUACAGCUGCAUACAGAUUGUAUGCAGGAAACAUACAGUGGAACAGAACUGAAGCAUCUCUAAUCUGGCUCCCUUUGUCUUUCAAUCAGUUGGUUAAAACCCAAGAUAUCUUUUGGGGUUCGCAUUAGUUGUUUACUAGAGGCUUGCACGACCCUUUAGAAAUUAGAAGUGAUUUUAAAACAAAAGUGGAACCGAACUGCAGCUAUUUCCGUUAGUAUUGUCUAUGUCUACUUGACCUUUCAUGGGAAUCUUCCGCAACCUGCAAAUACUACAGAUGAUAUGUAGAGAAGAUUUCAGUAGUACUUAUUACUGCCUUAGUACCAUGCCGUUCUUCUCUGCAUAAAUCAUUUCUAAAGCUGUAGGAGGAACUCUGCUCACAAAUCUGAAUAUCCAACUAACCGUCUUACCACUAAUUAGUUGCCACAGUGCAACUACUGACAGUGGAUACUGACAUCUUACUCUCUUGGCAGAGUUCAAAACAACAUGAUUCAAGCUGAUGAAAUUCAGUCGUAUUUUUUUCUUUUUUCCCGAGCAUGUAGUUUCUUCAACUGUUCUGAAGGUCCUCUCUUUUGUAAUUAAGCUCACAUGCAAAUGUCCUGGUACGUACUUAGAAUCAUAUAGCUGACAAUAUUCAACUUUUCUGAUGUAGUAAGAAUGCCAGGCGUUAUUUUGUCAUUGGUGUUUCCAUUUGUCGGUUACAGGUAUAUCAUUCCAAUAUUCAUACUAUAGAAGUCGUUGUCAGGGAGUGCGAGAUGGGCGGCGCAGUGGCCAGCGAUGGCAACAGCAUCACGGCAGCUAUGUUCACCCAGUUUGAGGUGACAUCGAGGAGAUGUCGACGAACUCCGUGGAUGAGCGGUGGUCAUGAGAGUUUGCCGAGGAAGGCCGACUCGAUCAUGGAGUUGCUAUCGCUUCAGAAGGCGACGCUAGCAAUAGAGACAUCCAUCCAUUAGUGCCACCAUGAACAACAACGUUGUAAGGCUCUGCACUGGUUGCUGAAGCAGCAGAGAGGCUUGCGUCAUGCAAGCAACUGGUGGCUACAAGGAUCUGUAUGUAAACAUGGCUUUUGCUAAAGAGAGAAACUGAGAGAUACUACUAUCCUGGUUCCAUGGAAGGCUUAUUUGUCAUCUUGAAUCCUGAUUUGGACAAGAAGAACUCCCCCAUGUUUCCUUGAAUCUCUAUAAAGCAGUGUUGUGCAUUACUAUUGAAUGACUCCGUGGGUCGUGGGCAUAGAGUGGAGGUUGCAUCACAUCCUCUACAUUGUGUCAAAGGACUUGCAUGUUGUGGCGUUCAUAGUGGACGGGGUUUGUUUUCAUAUGACCAUCGUGCUACACCCGUCCAGGAUACGGCACAACGGAGA